CAUAACACAGGCUGUCCUGAAACUUACUGAGUAGCCACAGUUGGCCUCAGAUUCACAGUGAUUGUCCUGCUUCAGCUUCUCAGCUCGUGGGAUCACAGGGAAGACCCAGUGACCACCCUCCUCGGGCACCUGUAGCUGGCUCGAAGUGGAUUUCUUGGUCAUGAGGUGACAUCUGUGCCUAGUGGAAUAAGUCUACAUAAGGAAUAAGUACUCCAGUCUCUUUGGCAGCAAGGGAGGCUGCCUGACUCAACGCUGAUGGAUGAGGUGUGAAAAGCAUUGUGUGGCCGAUACAGGAAAUGUCCUUCUUCUCCUCUUUCUUCUGGCUGUUUGGAAUGUAGACACAAUGGCUGGACUUGAGCAGCCAUCUUGGACGCAGCUGCCACCGUGAACAGGUGUAGAGAAGGGUCCGAACUUCUGGGUCCGACUCCAAUCGCAACAUAAAGGUGGGAUCACAGCGACGGACAGUCGUAGAAUUCGUCCUUCGAAUUGCCUGGAUCCAGUCUCACACCCUUAGGGAAGGUGGCCCUCCCGAACGACUCCACACACUCAACAUGCGUGUGGAAGAAGAGGACGGCAGACACAGCUGUCUCAGGAAACAACGAGUGUGGGAGACGAGAAAAGGAGCGUGGGCAGUCUAAAUUCCACGGGGACAAAGGGGUUUUAAAUAUCUACCAGGCUCAAGAUUAUACUUAAUCUUAUUAAGUUAGAAGAUUGA